rnacentral:rRNA from 1 species
ACGCACGCUGGCGGCGUGCUUCACCCCUGCAAGUCGAACGGAAAGGCCCUGCUUUUGUGGGGUGCUCGAGUGGCGAACGGGUGAGUAACACGUGAGUAACCUGCCCUUGACUUUGGGAUAACUUCAGGAAACUGGGGCUAAUACCGGAUAGGAGCUCCUGCUGCAUGGUGGGGGUUGGAAAGUUUCGGCGGUUGGGGAUGGACUCGCGGCUUAUCAGCUUGUUGGUGGGGUAGUGGCUUACCAAGGCCUUGACGGGUAGCCGGCCUGAGAGGGUGACCGGCCACAUUGGGACUGAGAUACGGCCCAGACUCCUACGGGAGGCAGCAGUGGGGAAUAUUGCACAAUGGGCGGAAGCCUGAUGCAGCAACGCCGCGUGCGGGAUGACGGCCUUCGGGUUGUAAACCGCUUUCGCCUGUGACGAAGCGUGAGUGACGGUAAUGGGUAAAGAAGCACCGGCUAACUACGUG